UACGAAGGGGGCUAGCGUUGUUCGGAAUUACUGGGCGUAAAGGGCGCGUAGGUGGCCUUCUUAGUCAGACGUGAAAUCCCCAGCUUAACCUGGGAACUGCAUCCGAUACUGGAUGGCUUGAAUCCGGGAGAGGGAUGCAGAAUUCCAGGUGUAGCGGUGAAAUGCGUAGAUAUCUGGAGGAAUACCGGUGGCGAAGGCGGCAUCCUGGACCGGCAUUGACGCUGAUGAGCGAAAGCUAGGGGGAGCAAACGGGG
rnacentral:rRNA from 1 species